UACAGAGGUCUCAAGCGUUGUUCGGAUUCAUUGGGCGUAAAGGGUGCGUAGGCGGCGCGGUAAGUCGGGUGUGAAAUCUCGGGGCUUAACUCCGAAACUGCAUUCGAUACUGCCGUGCUUGAGGACUGGAGAGGAGACUGGAAUUUACGGUGUAGCGGUGAAAUGCGUAGAUAUCGUAAGGAAGACCAGUGGCGAAGGCGGGUCUCUGGACAGUUCCUGACGCUGGAGGCACGAAGGCCCAGGGGAGCAAACGGG
rnacentral:rRNA from 1 species